UACGUAGGUGGCAAGCGUUAUCCGGAUUUAUUGGGUGUAAAGGGUGCGUAGACGGAGAAGCAAGUUAGUUGUGAAAUCCCUCGGCUUAACUGAGGAACUGCAACUAAAACUACUUCCCUUGAGUACUGGAGAGGAAAGUGGAAUUCCUAGUGUAGCGGUGAAAUGCGUAGAUAUUAGGAGGAACACCAGUGGCGAAGGCGACUUUCUGGACAGUAACUGACGUUGAGGCACGAAAGUGUGGGGAGCAAACAGG
rnacentral:rRNA from 1 species